rnacentral:misc_RNA from 1 species
AAGUCGUAACAAGGUUUCCGUAGGUGAACCUGCGGAAGGAUCAUUAGUGAAUCUUAGGGUGCCCUCUCGCCUCUUCUCCCUUUAACUGGAGUUGGAGCGUUUCAGAGGGGCCUGACCUCCACUUUCUACCCUGUGCACUAUCUUUAAAGGAUGUUGUGGGUCUUGAAGCCUUUGUGCUUCUUGACCUUGACUCCUUUUCAAUUCAUUAUUAAACACGAGUCAAAGAAUGUAUAUAAAAAUCAUAACAAAAAAA